rnacentral:rRNA from 1 species
GCGCGAAAACUUUACAAUGCUGGCAACAGCGAUAAGGGAACCUCGAGUGCUAGGUUACAAAUCUGGCUGUCGAGAUGCCUAAAAAGCAUUUCAUAGCAAGGGCCGGGCAAGACCGGUGCCAGCAGCCGCGGUAACACCGGCGGCUCGAGUGGUAACCGUUAUUAUUGGGUCUAAAGGGUCUGUAGCCGGCCGGAUAAGUCUCUUGAGAAAUCUGGCAGCUUAACUGUCAGGCUUUCAGGAGAUACUGUCUGGCUCGAGGCCGGGAGAGGUGAGAGGUACUUCAGGGGUAGGGGUGAAAUCUUGUAAUCCUUGAAGGACCACCAGUAGCGAGGGCGUCUCACCAGAACGGACCUGACGGCAAGGGACGAAAGCUAGGGGCACGAACC